UCCCUGGUGGCUCAGAUGGUAAAGCAUCUGCCUGCAACGCGGGAGACCCGGGUUCGAUUCCCGGGUGGGGAA